rnacentral:rRNA from 1 species
CGAGCGUUAUCCGGAUUUAUUGGGUUUAAAGGGCGCGUAGGCGGCUUAGUAAGUCAGUGGUGAAAGCCCAUCGCUUAACGGUGGAACUGCCAUUGAUACUGCUAGUCUUGAGUAUGGUUGAGGUGGGCGGAAUGUGUCAUGUAGCGGUGAAAUGCUUAGAGAUCUGGAAGAACACCAAAGGCGAAGGCAGCAUCCUGGGAAGUUCCUGACGCUCGGGUGCGAAAGCCAGGGGAGCGAACGGG